rnacentral:rRNA from 1 species
UUAAGUAAGGAAGGGCGUACGGCGAAUGCCUGGCCACUCGAAACUGAAGAAGGACGCGCCAAACUGCGAAAAGCUCCGUGAAGCUGUAAGGAAGCGAAGAAGCGGAGGUGUCCGAAUGGGGGAACCCGGCAGCAGACAUGAGCUGUCAUCUGCAGGUGAAUACAUGGCCUGCAAGAGAGGUACCCGGCGAACUGAAACAUCUAAGUAGCCGGAGGAAAAGAAAACAACAGUGAUUCCCUGAGUAGCGGCGAGCGAAAGGGGAGAAGCCCAAACCGGUUGAAGGACCGGGGUUGAAGGACCAUGACAUGGCAAGAACGAGGAUAGGAGAACGGGAUCGAAAGCCCGGCCGAAGAAGGUGAAAGCCCUGUAACCGAAAUCCGAGUAAAGCCUAAUGGGAUCCUGAGUACGGCGAGACACGAGAAAUCUUGUCGGAAGCAGGCGGGACCAUCCGCCAAGGCUAAAUAUAAACGAGUGAGCGAUAGUGAACCAGUACCGUGAGGGAAAGGUGAAAAGAACCGCGGGAGCGGAGUGAAAGAGAACCUGAAACCGUAUGCCUACAAGAAGUCAGAGCCCGUUAAGGGGUGAUGGCGUGCCUUUUGUAGAAUGAACCGGCGAGUUGCGACAGACUGCGAGGUUAAGGAGGAAAGACCGGAGCCGAAGCGAAAGCGAGUCUUAAGAGGGCGAAAGUAGGAUGUUGCAGACCCGAAACCGGGUGAUCUAGCCAUGAGCAGGUUGAAGUUGAGGUGAAACUCAAUGGAGGACCGAACCGACUACCGUUGAAAAGUUAGCGGAUGACUUGUGGCUAGGGGAGAAAUUCCAAUCGAACCCGGAGAUAGCUGGUUCUCCCCGAAAUAGCUUUAGGGCUAGCGUCGGAAAGAACCUUAGUGAAGGUAGAGCACUGAAUGUGUGAUGGCCCCAUCCCGGGGUACUGAAUACAAUCAAACUGCGAAUGUCAUUAAGGAUGUCCGGCAGUCAGACUGUGAGUGAUAAGGUCCAUGGUCAAGAGGGAAACAGCCCAGACCGCCAGUUAAGGUCCCAAAAUACAGGCUAAGUGGAAAAGGAUGUGGGGAUGCCCAGACAACUAGGAGGUUGGCUCAGAAGCAGCCAUCCUUUAAAGAGUGCGUAACAGCUCACUAGUCGAGUGACCCUGCGCCGAAAAUGUACCGGGGCUAAGCCUGAUACCGAAACUGCGGAUUGUAGGAAACUAUAGUGGUAGGGGAGCGUUGUAUACGAGCAGAAGCCGUACCGUGAGGAGCGGUGGAUUGUAUAGAAGUGAGAAUGCCGGUGUGAGUAGCGAGAUGUAGGUGAGAAUCCUACACACCGAAAGCCCAAGGAUUCCAGGGGAAGGUUCGUCCGCCCUGGGUAAGUCGGGACCUAACGCGAGGCCGAAAGGCGUAGUGGAUGGAAAGCAGGCGAAAGAUUCCUGCACCCGUAUAUGGAGCGAAGGAGUGACGGAGACGGAUAGUGUGACCCUCUUAAUGGAUUGAGGGCGAAGCGAAGCGGCUGGUUACCAGGCAAAUCCGGUAACCAUAAGGCUAGAGCGUGACAGGUAAGCGAAAUCUUAGGAAAGUAGCGAAGCACAUGAUGACGGCUUCCAGGAAAAGCUUCUGGCAAUGCAUAUGCGGCCCGUACCAAAACCGACACAGGUGGGCAGGGAGAGAAUCCCGAGGUGAGCGAGAGAACUGUUGCCAAGGAACUCGGCAAAAUGACUCCGUAAGUUAGCGAGAAGGAGUGCUUAAGCAAUUAAGCCGCAGUGAAGAGGCCCAAGCGACUGUUUAACUAAAACACAGCUCUCUGCGAAGUCGCAAGACGAAGUAUAGGGGGUGACACCUGCCCGGUGCUGGAAGGUUAAGAGGAUCUGUUAAGAGCGAUCUGAAGCAGUGAUCCGAAGCCCCAGUGAACGGCGGCCGUAACUAUAACGGUCCUAAGGUAGCGAAAUUCCUUGUCAGGUAAGUUCUGACCCGCACGAAAGGUGUAACGAUUUGGGCGCUGUCUCGGCAGCAGACUCGGUGAAAUCUUAGUACCUGUGAAAAUGCAGGUUACCCGCAACUAGACGGAAAGACCCCAUGGAGCUUUACUGCAGCCUGAUAUUGAAUUCUGGUCAUACAUGUACAGGAUAGGUGGGAGACAAAGAGACGUGCACGCCAGUGUACGAGGAGUCGACGUUGGGAUACCACUCUUGUGUGACCGGGGUUCUAACCUGGUAUCGAGAACAGGUACGGGGAGAGUGUCAGGUGGGCAGUUUGACUGGGGCGGUCGCCUCCCAAAGAGUAACGGAGGCGCCCAAAGGUACGCUCAGAUUGGAUGGAAACCAAUCGUCGAGUGCAAUUGCAGAAGCGUGCUUGACUGUGAGACUUACAAGUCGAACAGGGACGAAAGUCGGGAAUAGUGAUCCGGCGGUGCCGAAUGGAAGGGCCGUCGCUCAACGGAUAAAAGCUACCCUGGGGAUAACAGGCUGAUCUCGCCCAAGAGUUCACAUCGACGGCGAGGUUUGGCACCUCGAUGUCGGCUCAUCGCAUCCUGGAGCUGGAUUCGGUUCCAAGGGUUGGGCUGUCCGCCCAUUAAAGCGGUACGCGAGCUGGGUUCAGAACGUCGUGAGACAGUUCGGUCC